AACACAUGCAAGUCGAACGGAAACGACAAGAGCUUGCUCUUGGGCGUCGAGUGGCGGACGGGUGAGUAACGCGUAGGAAUCUGCCUGAUAGUGGGGGAUAGCCCAGAGAAAUCUGGAUUAAUACCCGCAUAAUAUCUAUGGAUUAAAGUGGAGGAUCUUCGGACUUCACGCUAUCAGAUGAGCCUGCGUAAGAUUAGUUUGUUGGUGAGGUAAAGGCUCACCAAGGCGACGAUCUUUAGCUGGUCUGAGAGGAUGAUCAGCCACACUGGGACUGAGACACGGCCCAGACUCCUACGGGAGGCAGCAGUGGGGAAUAUUGGACAAUGGGGGCAACCCUGAUCCAGCAAUACCGCGUGUGUGAAGAAGGCCUGAGGGUUGUAAAGCACUUUCAAUUGUGAAGAAAAGCUAGUAGUUAAUACUUAUUAGCCUUGACGUUAACUUUAGAAGAAGCACCGCUAACU
rnacentral:rRNA from 1 species